CCUACGGGUGGCAGCAGUGGGGAAUAUUGGACAAUGGGGGGAACCCUGAUCCAGCCAUGCCGCGUGUGUGAAGAAGGCCCUCGGGUUGUAAAGCACUUUCAGUGAGGAAGAACGCCUGGUGGUUAAUACCCAUCAGGAAAGACAUCACUCACAGAAGAAGCAACGGCUAACUCCGUGCCAGCAGCCGCGGUAAUACGGAGGGUGCGAGCGUUAAUCGGAAUUACUGGGCGUAAAGCGCGCGUAGGUGGCUUGAUAAGCCGGUUGUGAAAGCCCCGGGCUCAACCUGGGAACGGCAUCCGGAACUGUCAAGCUAGAGUGCAGGAGAGGAAGGUAGAAUUCCCGGUGUAGCGGUGAAAUGCGUAGAGAUCGGGAGGAAUACCAGUGGCGAAGGCGGCCUUCUGGACUGACACUGACACUGAGGUGCGAAAGCGUGGGUAGCAAACAGGAUUAGAUACCCGUGUAGUC
rnacentral:rRNA from 1 species